rnacentral:rRNA from 1 species
UAGAGAAUCUUCCACAAUGGACGAAAGUCUGAUGGAGCAACGCCGCGUGAGUGAAGAAGGGUUUCGGCUCGUAAAACUCUGUUGUUAAAGAAGAACAUAUCUGAGAGUAACUGUUCAGGUAUUGACGGUAUUUAACCAGAAAGCCACGGCUAACUACGUGCCAG